AACGAACGCUGGCGGCAUGCUUAACACAUGCAAGUCGAACGAGACCUUCGGGUCUUGUGGCGCACGGGUGCGUAACGCCGGGGAACUUGCCCUUGGGUUCGGUAUAACUCACCGUAAGAGAUGCUAAUACCGGUUAAUGUAUUAGGACCAAAGAUCUAUCGCUUUUGGAUGGGCCCGCGUUAGAUUCGCCGGUUGGUAGGGUAAAAGCCUACCAUCGCGACGUUCCAUAGCUGGUGUGUGAGGAGGAUCAGCCACACUGGAACUGAGACACGGCCCAGACUCCUACGGGAGGCAGCAGUGGGGAAUAUUGGACGAUGGGCGAAAGCCUGGUCCAGCAGUGCCGCGUGAGUGAUGAAGGCCUUAGUGUUGUAAAGCUCUUUUACCCGAGAUGAUAAUGACAGUACCGGGAGAAUAAGCUCCGGCUAACUCCGUG
rnacentral:rRNA from 1 species